UCCUCUAGUCAAGCUACAGAGCUGCCUUGG
rnacentral:piRNA from 1 species